rnacentral:rRNA from 1 species
AGAGUUUGAUCCUGGCUCAGGACGAACGCUGGCGGCGUGCUUAACACAUGCAAGUCGAACGAUGAAGCCCUUCGGGGUGGAUUAGUGGCGAACGGGUGAGUAACACGUGGGCAAUCUGCCCUUCACUCUGGGACAAGCCCUGGAAACGGGGUCUAAUACCGGAUAUGACCGUCUUGGGCAUCCUUGACGGUGUAAAGCUCCGGCGGUGAAGGAUGAGCCCGCGGCCUAUCAGCUUGUUGGUGAGGUAAUGGCUCACCAAGGCGACGACGGGUAGCCGGCCUGAGAGGGCGACCGGCCACACUGGGACUGAGACACGGCCCAGACUCCUACGGGAGGCAGCAGUGGGGAAUAUUGCACAAUGGGCGAAAGCCUGAUGCAGCGACGCCGCGUGAGGGAUGACGGCCUUCGGGUUGUAAACCUCUUUCAGCAGGGAAGAAGCGCAAGUGACGGUACCUGCAGAAGAAGCGCCGGCUAACUACGUGCCAGCAGCCGCGGUAAUACGUAGGGCGCAAGCGUUGUCCGGAAUUAUUGGGCGUAAAGAGCUCGUAGGCGGCUUGUCACGUCGAUUGUGAAAGCCCGAGGCUUAACCUCGGGUCUGCAGUCGAUACGGGCUAGCUAGAGUGUGGUAGGGGAGAUCGGAAUUCCUGGUGUAGCGGUGAAAUGCGCAGAUAUCAGGAGGAACACCGGUGGCGAAGGCGGAUCUCUGGGCCAUUACUGACGCUGAGGAGCGAAAGCGUGGGGAGCGAACAGGAUUAGAUACCCUGGUAGUCCACGCCGUAAACGGUGGGAACUAGGUGUUGGCGACAUUCCACGUCGUCGGUGCCGCAGCUAACGCAUUAAGUUCCCCGCCUGGGGAGUACGGCCGCAAGGCUAAAACUCAAAGGAAUUGACGG